rnacentral:rRNA from 1 species
UACGAAGGGGGCUAGCGUUGCUCGGAAUCACUGGGCGUAAAGCGCACGUAGGCGGACUCUUAAGUCGGUGGUGAAAUCCUGGAGCUCAACUCCAGAACUGCCUUUGAUACUGGGAAUCUAGAGUCCGGGAGAGGUGAGUGGAACUGCGAGUGUAGAGGUGAAAUUCGUAGAUAUUAGGAAGAACACCAGUGGCGAAGGCGGCUCACUGGCCCGGUACUGACGCUGAGGCGCGAAAGCGUGGGGAGCAAACAGG